ACCUUUUCUGUAAAGGGAGAAUCUUGUAAUUCUUCAAAGAGACAAAAUUUCAGCAUCGCCAUUAUCAUUUCAUCGGAAUUUGGAGCACAACUUACUGUGUUCAGCUUGGCAGUCCUGUUCAAGAAUGUGCAUCAUUUAUAUUCAGAUGCUCCGUGUUCAAAUGUAUGUCACUGACUACUUCUGUGCUGGUGACCAGCUACCAGAA
ensembl:lncRNA